UCCAGCACCUCUCCCUUGUUCCCUCAGUCACGGGCACACCCUUCCCCCUUAGUCUCUUGAUCCAGAUCCAGAUCCAGAUCCAAUUCCGCUGCCUCCCUCACCGACCGCCGGCGCCUCCUUCGCCGAUCGCCGUCGCCGACCCCCGAGCCCCAACCCUUCGCUCCCUCUUCUCCCAUGGCCUCACCUCCUACCCGGACCCUCCCCUCGAGGUCGUCUGGUUCUUCUCCGUGCUCCCCGUGGCUAGGGUUUCGGGGGCGGCGCUCACCACUUCAACACCGCCGGCGACCACAACCACAACCACAACCACGGCCUCCACCUCCACUCCCUAGACAGAGAUCCACUCGAUUCCUCUCCAAUCCCGCUGGCUGGAGAUCCACUCGAGCUCCCCCAUGAUUCAUCUCCAAUCCCGCCGCCGUCCCCGGCUCCUCACCACAAGCUCCAGCAAGCCCGCCUUCCCCGCGCCCCUCGGCAGCGGCCGGCGCGCCCUGCGGCUCGCGAGGCGACGAGCUCCGCAGCGCCUCCGACGACUGCGCCCGGAGGCCGCUGCCGUCCUCCCCGACAAGGCCGCUGCCGUCCUGGCGGCGUGCCUAGGCCCCGCGGCGGCGGACCAGCCCGGAUCCGUCGAGGGAUACACCAUCGCCGGUUAGGGAGCAGGAUCUGGCGCUAGGGUUCAAGGUCAACGCCAAGGGCACUGCUGCUGCACGCCUUCAUCAGCGUCAACACCUUCAGUGAGACUGGUGCUGGGAAGCAUGUCCCCCGUGCUGUUUUCGUUGAUCUUGAGCUCACUGUGAUUGAUGAGGACGAGCAGUACCUGGGGAAGAUGAAGCAGCCGCACCUGGACAACAUCCAGUUCCAGAAGACAAGGUGGUGAACCCGCUGUUCUAGAAGAGGCCGAAGCAGUUCGGCAUCGGUGGCGCCCUGCUGCCAAAGAAGGACCUCCACCGGUUCGUCAAGUGGGCCAAGGUCGUGCGCAUCCAGCGCCAGCGCCGCAUCCUCAAAUAGCACCUCAAGGUGCCCCCGGCGCUCCAUGAGUUCACCCACACCCUCGACAAGAACCUCGAGGCCACAGUUGCCCAGGUUCUACUACAAGAAGAGGUCUGCAGUCCACAACAGAACUGGCAAGGAUGAUAGCAGCCCCAAGAUCCAACCGCCCAGCUCGCCCGUGAGCAGACAGAGCCUGUCAACCUCUGCCAUCCCCACCUAUCAUGCUGGUCUAUACAAGUGCCAUCUAUGUCUGGCAACAUAAGCCUCUUGUCAUGUCAUGUAUCUAUUAUCACGUUAGAUGUUUUAUUAAGAGUUCCUAGGUCGAAGAAAUUCGAAGAAGCUCGAAGCCCCUGUCAGCGACUUGCUUUAUAUGUUAUUGAACUUGUAAUGCAUAAUUUUCUUGGAAUUUUGAUGUAAGGCUGAUCUUGGGAAUUGGGUGUAUAUUUACUUGCUAUACUUGUUAUUCAAAUGCUGGUUGUACUUGUUAUACAAAUGCUUGGAAUUUAA